rnacentral:rRNA from 1 species
AUUGAACGCUGGCGGCAGGCCUAACACAUGCAAGUCGAACGAGUGGCGGACGGGUGAGUAAUGUCUGGGAAACUGCCUGAUGGAGGGGGAUAACUACUUGAAACGGUAGCUAAUACCGCAUACCAUCAGAUUUGCCCAGAUGGGAUUAGCUUGUUGGUGGGGUAACGGCUCACCAAGGCGACGAUCCAUAGCUGGUCUGAGAGGAUGACUAGCCCGACUGGAAAUGAAACACGGACAAGUCUCGUACGGUAGGCAGCAGUUGGGAGUGUUGCACAAUGGGCGUAAGUCUGAUGCAGCCAUGUCGCGUGUAUGAAGAUGGCCUUCGGGUUUGAAAGUACUUUCAGCGGGGAGGGGUUACCCGCAGAAGAAGCACCGGCUAACUCCGUGCCAGCAGCCGCGGUAAUUC